UUUGUGUGCGUUUUCUAACCCCUUUAUCCUAGGCGCUGUGCUGGUUUUCGAAGGAAGGAGGCGGAGGUGCUCCGGCGAGGAGGUGGACAGGCACGCCGGUGGGGAGGAGGGAGAGGGGGAGGGUCACUUGACGCGCCGCUGGAGGGGACGGGUCUGGACUAGGGCGGCGCCGGGUCAGGCGUUGCCAUAGGUUGCUUGCCGGACAAGGAGGAGACGGCGGCUCAGCUCGCGGCGCUCCCGACUAGAGCGCCUAAAAGCGGACAAGGGCUCUCCGGUUAACGCCUAUUGAGCUCAUUGACGAUCACGACGGUCCUUAGCACACCACACGAAAUAGACAGAUCGAACGGUUAGUAGACGUAUUUAAAGUUUCACCCAAACGAAAGUCAGACCUCCGACUUUCUAUCCAAUUGUGAGACGGUAGACUGGAACAAGUACACACGUACCAAACUUACGAUUGGUGUUAACUCAGGACUUUUGCGUCUGCGCCACGUGUACGAACGGCCGUCAUACUUAUUGCUAUUACUAUUACAAUAACUGAACUAUAGCCUAUCACCACUACUAAAACUAAGACUGAGACUGCUAGGUUGAAGAUGUUUACAGUGUAGACCGCUCUUACCGCCUCCCGUUAGUCAGACGAAAGUCCUGCUUCUAAACAACUCCUCGUGAGGGAGAAGAAGGUCCAGAUUAUAUUUACUAUUACCAGUCAUGUCUUGAGACGGUGGAAGGAAGCGUUUACUAUAACUAUAACUCUUUCGGGCAAUAUGUGAUCCAAGCCCCCUGUCUUGAAUAGGUGUGAGUUUAAGCCCCGGUUCUGUGCUAAAACCUUCCCGGACAGAGAGCAGGUCAUCUGAACUAUAGCGUCACUCCCUCGCGUUACCAAACCGUCACCUACGUUUACCGUUAUUGUUCUCCUAAGAAGGAAGUAGAAAAAGGUCACCUUCGUGCAGUUUUAGAUGUGUAGGUUCACAACGUUCACUCUCGGUAUUUGAGGGUCGUGCAAAAUGGUUACCUUUAAGUGUUUCCAACCUACUAUUAUCAUACCCUUGUUUACUACGGUUACCGUGACCCGUUGGAAGUAGAAGUUCCAAGAGUUAGGCUUCGAUGAGACACUCAUUACGGGUCUUCCUAUGGUACCUUUUACUGCUACUACUACAGAUACAUAUACUAUCAGGAUCAAGUGUAUCCUACGACGGACGUAGAAAACCUCCGGUAUUGAGACGGUCAUUGUUACUUGAACGAUUACAAUUACUGUACGUUCGAGCAGGUUUGGAUCUUUUAUCCAAAUACCUAGGACUGCUCUCGCGUCAUAUAGUUCUCCGAGAAGUCUUGUAAUCAGAACUAUUUUCCCUUCUACUAGAGCUACUCCCACAGAAUAGUCAUAGAGACGAAUUCGUGGUCUUUUACCGUAAUCGAACCUACCAGAGCUUCCUCUUAUCAAGUGUAACACGUCCUCCUUAAGAACGUCUACUAGUCCCAGAACCCUUCUGACACAGAUGUUAACGGGAAUAUGAUUUUGUCUUCUCAGUCGUCAGAUUCAAGUACACACGACUAAGUCUAGGAAACUUUAGACUUCGCGAUUUGGAACUACUUCUGCUACUCCGUCACUGACAACAACUAUUCCGCUUUGUCAGAUACUUGCUACUUGGGUUCUUCCUAAAUCUGCGAUCAAAUAGUUGUCGUCGAUCAUGAUCACUACAAUUUGGUAGAUCAUCAGUAUACCUAUAACAAGGUUUAUCUUAACAACUUUCGUUUCAACUUACGUUCUUCUGAUUUUGUCCGUGUAGUAGACGUAGUAGCUGGUACGCUAGGUACUGCUCCGGUCGACGUCCAUGAAAUCAUCAUACGGGACGAUCACAAGAAUUCGUCACCCGAUUACUUAACUUACUGUUCCAAUCAGUUUCACGAUCCAAUAGACAAAAUCAGAUGGUACCACCACGUUCCUGGUUUCUAGGUUCACUCGACCGUUUUAUACUACAGCAACAGUGCUGUAUGUGUUAACACCGCUUACUUCACGGAUUUGUCUUACGACUACUACUGGUUCUAGUUUUCUUACCCCUUCUUAGAAGACAACCAUUAUUUUCUUUUGGUGGUUCGUUUAGAUUCUUUUCCUUCUUCUUUGAAUUCCUAAGUCUAUAACUGGAACUGUCACCAGGUCAACGGGCCCAUGCCACCAAAGCCCACCAAGAACUACUUCGAGUCUGCUAUUUUUUAAAGGCUUGAGUUCACCGAUUUCCGACAACACCUGAUUCUCGUUUUUCCUCUACCACGAAUAGUCCUUGUGGAUAUGUUUUAAGUUAGCUACUCGACAUGUCGAUAAAGGCAAAGAACUUUAUACUAGGUAUAAGAUGUAUAUCGAGUAAAACAUGUUACUAUUUCGUGGGUUAACGAUCUUUACGUCAGGUACCCAUAUUCUUUGAUGUUUGACACAACUCCUAUCAAGAGGACGCAGCGUGUUUUCUUUGAUGCUAUUUACCUCUUGGCUAGUAUUUGAAUGGAGGUUUCUGUUAAUUCAACGUUUUCCACCUAAAGUGUUUCCUCCUCGCUCGAAAAAUAAACUGUGACCUUCUUGCAAGAGCCGUUGUCAAGUUCCUUAUACGACGACGGCCUUGUCAGUUUGUUUUGAUACGGUUAUAGGAAAAUAACAACAACGCGGAAUCCGUCCGAACACUAGUAGGAGAAGAACACUUCCCCGUAGUCAGUCAUAAAUUUCCGCUACCAAGAUAUCUCUACCGUUUUGUUGAAAGGUUCCUUUCCCAUUAUCUAAACGAACGUUCCGACCUUCACAGUCGCGAAACACGACAUACGGCACUGUGUGGACUCCUACGACAACACCGCUACACACCAGUAUAAAAGACGAUAGUCACAUAUAUGCUCGCCUAUUGUUGACUACUUUUGUACACGGGGCAGGGAUUAACGUCUUUGUGCAAUUCAUGACUUAGUCAUAAAAGUAGUCCCUGUAAUUUCUAAACAUAGAGGCCGUUCUGGUCAUGAGUACGCUAUCGCUCAAGUAGUCGUCUGCUACUCGAUAGAAGAUAGUCAGUUUCGUCAAUGUAGAGGAGCUUCUAUGUUCGUUGGCAGCUAUAUGACUUAAGAUAGUAAUUGUACGUACGGGAAUGUCUGUCACUAUGGUAACUUAGUUUAGGUUUGGCUCAUAGGGGACACUUUCGGUAACAGAAGAGCGUCACCUGACCGUACGACCUAAACGACCUCAAAAGUGACUUGUCGUUAGAAUAUGUCAUGUCCUCUGAUCUGCCUUGUUACAGGGAGUUAAGUUCUCUAUUUCGGCACUUCCUAAAAUUGUAGCUGGGUCUCCAAUCUCAAUACUAAUACAGUAACUUUCGCCCAUUAGAACCAGACUUGUACCAACGACGAACGGUACAUUAUGAGGAACUAGAAACCACCUUAGGAAUACGACUCCUGGUCCGUUAACUAUCUCGUGUGUCUUAACCAGUCUGAGCAGGACAGUGACAGAGAGCAGAUUGGUAAUGUCUAUGCCACCUUCUAGCAUAAAAUAGAGACGUCCUCCUUUUCUCUCGCUACCAGUUGAGACGAAAGCCACUUCUGUUUAGGUCACGGGUGCGAUGAGCCGAGUGACAUCUACUAGACUCCAUAGACAAAUCCUAUACUAACCCUCCUCCUCUACUAGGGAACAACGCAACGAUCGAAACCUUUCGCACUUUCACCACCGUCGUACAUGCAACGAACGUUAGAUGGAUACAGAGAGGGACGGGGCGGCUCCUAGGUCAAAACAGUACAAGGCUAGCUAGGAUGUACACUGUAGCCUCCCGGUCGAUCGAUCGUACAGAUCACAUUGCAUGAAUACAGGGACUCUGGGACUCCCCCGGCAGACCACAUUGACGGUAUGGGGUCGGACAUCCUCUUAAGAACACGCGAGACAAGGGACACUACUGUCCUCUCUAGGUAUACAUAUCACACAGUAACUGAGCAACAUGACACCGGUAAAUGAAAAAGGAAAAAACGUUACUGGGGCG
rnacentral:rRNA from 1 species